rnacentral:rRNA from 1 species
GACGAACGCUGGCGGCGUGCUUAACACAUGCAAGUCGAACGGUAAGGCCCUUCGGGGUACACGAGUGGCGAACGGGUGAGUAACACGUGGGUGAUCUGCCCUGCACUUCGGGAUAAGCCUGGGAAACUGGGUCUAAUACCGGAUAGGACCACUGCCUGCAUGGGUGGUGGUGGAGAGCUUUUGCGGUGUGGGAUGGGCCCGCGGCUUAUCAGCUUGUUGGUGGGGAGAUGGCCUAACAAGGCGACGACGGGUAGCCGGCCUGAGAGGGUGACCAGCCACACUGGGACUGAGAUACGGCCCAGACUCCUACGGGAGGCAGCAGUGGGGAAUAUUGCACAAUGGGCGCAAGCCUGAUGCAGCGACGCCGCGGGAGGGAUGACGGCCUUCGGGUUGUAAACCUCUUUCAGCACCGACGAAGCGCAAGUGACGGUAGGUGCAGAAGAAGGACCGGCCAACUACGUGCCAGCCGCCGCGGUAA